rnacentral:rRNA from 1 species
AAAACUUUCAACAACGGAUCUCUUGGUUCUGGCAUCGAUGAAGAACGCAGCGAAAUGCGAUAAGUAAUGCGAAUUGCAGAAUUCCGUGAGUCAUCGAAUCUUUGAACGCACAUAGCGCCCUUUGGUAUUCCGAAGGGCAUGCCUGUUCGAGCGUCAUU